GCUUGCUAGGAGGCGUCGAGCGGCGGACGGGUGAGUAAUGCAUAGGAAUCUGCCCGGUAGUGGGGGAUAACCUGGGGAAACCCAGGCUAAUACCGCAUACGCCCUACGGGGGAAAGCAGGGGAUCUUCGGACCUUGCGCUAUCGGAUGAGCCUAUGUCGGAUUAGCUAGUUGGUGAGGUAACGGCUCACCAAGGCUGCGAUCCGUAGCUGGUCUGAGAGGAUGAUCAGCCACAUCGGGACUGAGACACGGCCCGAACUCCUACGGGAGGCAGCAGUGGGGAAUAUUGGACAAUGGGCGAAAGCCUGAUCCAGCCAUGCCGCGUGUGUGAAGAAGGCCUUCGGGUUGUAAAGCACUUUCAGUGAGGAAGAAAGCCUUGGGGUUAAUACCCUCGAGGGAGGACAUCACUCACAGAAGAAGCACCGGCUAACUCCGUGCCAGCAGCCGCGGUAAUACGGAGGGUGCGAGCGUUAAUCGGAAUUACUGGGCGUAAAGCGCGCGUAGGCGGCUUGAUAAGCCGGUUGUGAAAGCCCCGGGCUCAACCUGGGAACGGCAUCCGGAACU
rnacentral:rRNA from 2 species